AUUGAUAUUGCUAUCAAAUAUAUUGCUUGAAAUGACCCCGUACAAUUGCAAAAAAAAGACGUGAAAUAUAUUUGAGCAUUUAUAUUGACAUGUAACAUAUAUUGAAAACAGAAAAAAAAUCCUAACAAUACUCUCCUUGUUGCACACACAGCAGUACCAUUAAUGUGCUUGACCAUGUAUUUGUUUUCAAUUUUAGUGUAAUAUGAAGUUACAUAAUGGGUAUUAAAUAGACUAACGACACAGACAUUAAACUUCCAAUGGUUCUUUCUGUAAUUGCUUGACACCCUCUCUAUUUAUUGCAAUUGUGUGUUAAGCGAGGGCAUCCUCCUGAGUGUCGAAUCAAGAUGGCGGGAAAUGAUCGUUUCAACAAGAAAUAUGACAACCUCAUCAGCAAACAAGACUUUUUUCUUAGAAAUAUUUG